rnacentral:rRNA from 1 species
UAACACCUGGAAACAAGAUGCUAAUACCGGAUAACAACAGAUGAUGCCUAUCAACUGUUUAAAAGAUGGUUCUGCUAUCACUCUUGGAUGGACCUGCGGUGCAUUAGCUAGUUGGUAGGGUAACGGCCUACCAAGGCGAUGAUGCAUAGCCGAGUUGAGAGACUGAUCGGCCACAUUGGGACUGAGACACGGCCCAAACUCCUACGGGAGGCAGCAGCC